rnacentral:rRNA from 1 species
AACGAACGCUGGCGGCAUGCCUAACACAUGCAAGUCGAACGAGACCUUCGGGUCUAGUGGCGCACGGGUGCGUAACGCGUGGGAACCUGCCCUUAGGUCGGAAUAACUCCCCGAAAGGGGUGCUAAUACCGGAUAAUGUCUUCGGACCAAAGAUUUAUCGCCUUUGGAUGGGCCCGCGUUGGAUUAGCUAGUUGGUAGGGUAAAAGCCUACCAAGGCGACGAUCCAUAGCUGGUCUGAGAGGAUGAUCAGCCACACUGGGACUGAGACACGGCCCAGACUCCUACGGGAGGCAGCAGUGGGGAAUAUUGGACAAUGGGCGAAAGCCUGAUCCAGCAAUGCCGCGUGAGUGAUGAAGGCCUUAGGGUUGUAAAGCUCUUUUACCCGGGAUGAUAAUGACAGUACCGGGAGAAUAAGCUCCGGCUAACUCCGUG